UACGUAGGGCGCAAGCGUUGUCCGGAAUUAUUGGGCGUAAAGAGCUCGUAGGCGGUUUGUUACGUCCGCUGUGAAAACCCAGGGCUUAACCCUGGGCUUGCAGUGGAUACGGGCAGACUAGAGGUAGGUAGGGGAGAAUGGAAUUCCCGGUGUAGCGGUGAAAUGCGCAGAUAUCUGGAGGAACACCGGUGGCGAAGGCGGCAUCCUGGACCGGCAUUGACGCUGAGGCGCGAAAGCGUGGGGAGCAAACAGG
rnacentral:rRNA from 1 species